rnacentral:tRNA from 1 species
GCCUGGAUAGCUCAGUUGGUUGAGCGUCUGACUUCGGCUCAGGUCACGAUCUCGCGGUCCGUGAGUUCGAGCCCCACGUCAGGCU